GCCGGCGACCAUACCAUGUCGAGAGCACCGGUUCUCGUCCGAUCAUCACAGUUAAGCGACGUUGGGCCCGGUCAUUACUUGCAUGCCCCCAAACGCCCUGGUAUGGCCGAGA
rnacentral:rRNA from 1 species